GAUGAACGCUUUCUUCUUUCCUAAUACAUGCAAGUCGAGCGAACAGACGAGGAGCUUGCUCCUCUGACGUUAGCGGCGGACGGGUGAGUAACACGUGGAUAACCUACCUAUAAGACUGGGAUAACUUCGGGAAACCGGAGCUAAUACCGGAUAAUAUAUUGAACCGCAUGGUUCAAUAGUGAAAGACGGUUUUGCUGUCACUUAUAGAUGGAUCCGCGCCGCAUUAGCUAGUUGGUAAGGUAACGGCUUACCAAGGCGACGAUGCGUAGCCGACCUGAGAGGGUGAUCGGCCACACUGGAACUGAGACACGGUCCAGACUCCUACGGGAGGCAGCAGUAGGGAAUCUUCCGCAAUGGGCGAAAGCCUGACGGAGCAACGCCGCGUGAGUGAUGAAGGUCUUCGGAUCGUAAAACUCUGUUAUUAGGGAAGAACAAAUGUGUAAGUAACUAUGCACGUCUUGACGGUACCUAAUCAGAAAGCCAAGGCUAACUACGUG
rnacentral:rRNA from 1 species